UACGUAGGGUGCAAGCGUUAAUCGGAAUUACUGGGCGUAAAGCGUGCGCAGGCGGUUAUUCAAGACAGAUGUGAAAUCCCCGGGCUCAACCUGGGAACUGCAUUUGUGACUGCAUGGCUAGAGUACGGCAGAGGGGGAUGGAAUUCCGCGUGUAGCAGUGAAAUGCGUAGAUAUGCGGAGGAACACCGAUGGCGAAGGCAAUCCCCUGGGCCUGUACUGACGCUCAUGCACGAAAGCGUGGGGAGCAAACAGG
rnacentral:rRNA from 1 species